UACAGAGGUCUCAAGCGUUGUCCGGAUUUAUUGGGCGUAAAGCGCUCGCAGGUGGUUCGUCGCGUCGUGCGUGAAAGACCCCGGCUCAACUGGGGAGGGUCGUGCGAUACGGGCGGACUGGAGGCCAGUAGGGGGAUGCGGAAUUCCGGGUGUAGUGGUGGAAUGCGUAGAGAUCCGGAGGGACACCAGCGGCGAAGGCGGCAUCCUGGACUGGUCCUGACACUCAGGAGCGAAAGCGUGGGGAGCGAUCCGG
rnacentral:rRNA from 1 species